CUCUACGGCCAUACCAUGCUGAAUGCGCCCCAUCUCGUCUGAUCUUGGAAGCUAAGGCCAAUGGGAAAUUACAACCCAAUCCAGGCAGGAACAAAUGACCCAGACU
ensembl:rRNA 5S_rRNA 5S ribosomal RNA